AACGAACGCUGGCGGCAGGCUUAACACAUGCAAGUCGAACGCAUCCUUCGGGGUGAGUGGCAGACGGGUGAGUAACGCGUGGGAACGUGCCCUUCAGUUCGGGAUAACCCAGGGAAACUUGGGCUAAUACCGGAUACGUGCGAGAGCAGAAAGAUUUAUCGCUGAAGGAUCGGCCCGCGUCUGAUUAGCUAGUGGGUGGGGUAAUGGCCCACCAAGGCGACGAUCAGUAGCUGGUCUGAGAGGAUGAUCAGCCACAUUGGGACUGAGACACGGCCCAAACUCCUACGGGAGGCAGCAGUGGCGAAUAUUGGACAAUGGGCGCAAGCCUGGUCCAGCCAUGCCGCGUGAGUGAUGAAGGCCUUAGGGUUGUAAAGCUCUUUCGUCCGGGACGAUACUGACGGUACCGGAAGAAGAAGCCCCGGCUAACUUCGUGCCAGCAGCCGCAGUCA
rnacentral:rRNA from 1 species